GGCCUUUCAAUUUCCAUGAUCGGCCCCUAUAUNNNNNNNNNNGCAAUAAGCCGUUCGGACCCGGGGGCGGUACCCGGCGCCUCCACCAAAAACCGCUCUUUCGAAAAGAGCGGCUUUUGCUGGGGGCGAAAUAGGAUCGACGAAGGUGUAAAGAUCGUACUUUUGCCCGGCAUUGUACCACCGUCAUCGGGCUAAACUUAUAGUUGCCAACGACAACUAUGCGGAAGCUCGUCUCGCUGCGUAAUGCAGUGCGAACGCUUCAAAUCAAGCCCUAGAGGUUCGCACUUCUAGGCGGGGUUCGGAGGUACCUGGCAACAGAAACCUCCACU
rnacentral:tmRNA from 1 species